rnacentral:rRNA from 1 species
UGAGGAAUAUUGGUCAAUGGGCGGCAGCCUGAACCAGCCAUCCCGCGUGAAGGAAGAAUGCGCUAUGCGUUGUAAACUUCUUUUUCAGGGGGAUAAAAUUUUGUAUGUAUACAGAACUGAAGGUACCCUGAGAAUAAGCAUCGGCUAACUCCGUGCCAGCAGCCGCGGUAAUACGGAGGAUGCGAGCGUUAUCCGGAUUUAUUGGGUUUAAAGGGUGCGUAGGCGGAAGAAUAAGUCAGUGGUGAAACCCUGCAGCUUAACUGUAGACUUGCCAUUGAUACUGUUUUUCUUGAGUAUGGUCAAGGCAGGCGGAAUGUGUAAUGUAGCGGUGAAAUGCUUAGAUAUUACACAGAACACCGAUAGCGAAGGCAGCUUGCUGGGCCGUUACUGACGCUGAUGCACGAAAGCGUGGGGAUCGAACAG